GACGUAGGGCGCGAGCGUUGUCCGGAUUUAUUGGGCGUAAAGAGCUCGUAGGCGGCUUGUCGCGUAGUCCGUGAAAACCUGCGGCUCAACUGCAGGCUGGCGGUCGAUACGGGCAGGCUGGAGUUCGGUAGGGGAGACUGGAAUUCCUGGUGUAACGGUGAAAUGCGCAGAUAUCAGGAGGAACACCGGUGGCGAAGGCGGGUCUCUGGGCCGAUACUGACGCUGAGGAGCGAAAGCGUGGGGAGCGAACAGG
rnacentral:rRNA from 1 species